CUUGAGCUUUUCUCCUUUGCAUGUCAUUUCUUCUGACUGUUCCCAUUUUUCUCAAUCACAGUAAUCUACUAUGAAGAAAUAUACUGACUGAGGAUCUUAUUUCCAGUCUGACAAGUAAGGAAAAGGAUCAGGCAGCUUCUGCAGCUCCAGCUCAAAGAACCACAAGUCAAGAUAAACUCUUCACUAGUGCCCAAUUCAACUCAAGAAACCAGGAACCCACGAAGAAUUAUUUAAACACUUGAACAAAGGCUUUGUUUUCAUUUGGACUUGCCCUGUUUACCAGUUUAUAAGUGCACUAUUCUCUAUAGAAUGCAGGCUAUACAAGUUUCCAUAUCAACAGUCAUUCAGAAUCUAAUACUUGGAAUGGAAAGGUGUGCACAGUUGAGCAGAAGAAAAUGUGAUUAUGAGUGACAUGUUGACAGGUUCAGUGCUCAUGUCCCACAGUGCCUUGUGUAUCCAUUAUGUAUUUAGGAUUCUGCCUACCCCACCCUUCUCCAAGACAUCUGAGAAAUACGAAAAGGGGAAAGAGAAUAAAAUCAGAAGAUCCUCAAAAUAGGAAAAACUUGCAAGUGGCAUGAGUGGUAGUAUGAAACUAAAUGAGGCAAGUUAAAAAAAGAAAUGGAACAAUAUUUUCUUUUAAUGUAACAAGUUUCUAUUUUAGGUCGUGCCUAUGCCUGGGUCCAUGUGAAAUCUAAAAAUUGCUUCCUAAGUGAAUGAAAGAAAUUUAUGGGGUAAUUUACUUUGUUUGUAAGCUGCCAUGUUUUUUAUUAUCCUUAACUAUCCUACCAUCUUCACAGUCGAUGGUGAAAUCCUGCCAACUUCUCAGGUGACAUUUCCAUGGGUUUUAUUUUAGAAAAAAACAUCCAGAGCAUCACUUGACUAUUCCAUGAAACAUCCAUAAGGAAUAUUUAGGAAGAAAGUGUUGUUCUCCUAAUAAAAUAGCACAGCUGUCUCAAAGAGCUUUUCAUCUAUCUUUUUAAAAGAUGUGGACUUUCUAAAAUAAUGUCGUGCCCAUUUGUCUCCUAUGAAAGAAGAUAUUUCAAAACCAGGAACACCUAUCAUAAUAAACCAUUAAGAUGACUCCAGCCUUUCAGUGUAUUUUUAGAAUUUCAUAUUUCACCCAAUGUUGUUAUAUAUAAUUCAUGAUAGUGGGAUAUGAUGGGAUAUGACAGUUAUCUCAUUUGUGUAGAAGGGCCAAAUAACUCAUGGCUGCACAUCCACAAAUAAAUUAUGCCCAUCCUCAAUCAUAAGUUCUUAUUUUGUUAGUCUCUUCAUUUUAAUGGAUUUUCUUCUUUAUAUUAAUAUUUUUAUGCAAAUGAUUGUGACUCAAUAUCAAUUUUGUUGUCCUGACAGAAAAUUCCUGGGAAUCAGUUUUACCUGUUUAAAAUGGAAGUGCUAACAAAGCAUUCAGUAUCAUAUACCAUUAUCCAGGAAAGAGGGACUUAGAACUGUAAUUCUUUGGGGGGAAAAUUCAUACCAUAAGAUUGCAUUGUGUCACACAUGGGCAGGAAAAACCCUGUGUUCAUUUUCUAUACUAUGUGUUUCAACAUCAUGGUUGGGACUUUCCAGUUCUCCUUUUCUUCCUAUAUUCAAUUUCAAAGGACCUUCUUCUGUUUCUGAGAUUUAAAUGCUCUACUUGACUCUGAAAAAUCUCAACCCUAAUUCUAGAAGGCCUACAAUAGCAUAAUAUAAACAGAAAGUAGGUAGAUUUGGGAAAGAGAAGAACUCAAAAAACAAAUAGACAAUCUGGGUUAGAAGAAAAAUAAAACUAUUUCAUGUAAAUUAAAUCAAUAAAGUUAAAAUGAGAAAAAAUCUCUUGAAGGGUAAAUAUUUUGCAUCAAUAUAAAAAGCUUUAUAAAGAAGAAUUGUGAUAAUCAUAUAACACCAUUGUUCAUAAUUCAUAGAUCCAGAGUUAGAAUAUUAAUUAACAGAUUCUAGCCCAAUUUUCCCAGUCCUAGUUUGGGAAUGAGAAACUAAAAUAAAAAAAUAAAAUGACAGACCAAAGAUCACACAAAAUACUAUUUUACUAUAAGAAAGGUCAAAAGAGAUUGUUUCAGAGAAUCCUGGUUACUAUAAAUGUGUAAUAUAGUCAAGUUAGCAAUCAGAAGAAUUUCAAGGACAAUAACAUUGUGAAGGAAAAAUAUUUAAAAUAUUUAAAAACAAAAUGCAAUGAUCAA